ACUAAAGCAUCCGCCAACUCCUGGACAGUCUGUGGUGCAACGUGGCGUUGGUGGAUUGAGCGAGACAUGAUGUCCCAGUCCAUAGCAUCAAUGCCUUCCUCUUGCAGGAACUGCUGACACACUCCAGCCACAUGAGGUCUAGCAUCGUCUUGCAUUAGGAGGAACCCAGGGCCAACCGCACCAGCAUAUGGUCUCACAAGGGGUCUGAGGAUCUCACCUUGGUACCUAAUGGCAGUCAGGCUACCUCUGGCGAGCACAUGGAGGGCUGUGCGCCCCCCUGAAGAAAUGACACCCCACACCAUGACUGACCCACCACCAAACCGGUCAUGCUGGAGGAUGUUGCAGGCAGCAGAACAUUCUCCACGGCGUCUUCAGACUCUGUCACGUCUGUCACAUGUGCUCAGUGUGAACCUGCUUUCAUCUGUGAAGAGCACAGGGCGCCAGUGGCAAAUUUGCCUAUCUUGGUGUUCUCUGGCAAAUUCCAAACAUCCUGCACGGUUUUGGGCUGUAAGCACAACCCCCAUCUGUGGACGUCGGGCCCUCAUACCACCCUCAUGGAGUCUGUUUCUGACCGUUUGAGCAGACACAUGCACAUUUGUGGCCUGCUGGAGGUCAUUUUGCAGGGCUCCUCUUGCACAAAGGCGGAGGUAGCGGUCCUGCUGCUGGGUUGUUGCCUCCCUACGGCCUCCUCCACGUCUCCUGAUGUACUGGCCGGUCUCCUGGUAGCGCCUCCAUGCUCUGAACACUACGCUGACAGACACAGCAGACCUUCUUGCCACAGCUCGCAUUGAUGUGCCAUCCUGAAUGAGCUGCACUACCUGAGCCACUUGUGUGGGUUGUAGACUCCGUCUCAUGCUACCACUAGACUGAAAGCACCGCCAGCAUUCAAAAGUGACCAAAACAUCAGCCAGGAAGCAUAGGAACUGAGAAGUGGUCUGUGGUCACCACCUGCAGAACCACUCCUUUAUUGGGGGUGUCUUGCUAAUUGCCUAUAAUUUCCACCUGUUGUCUAUUCCAUUUGCACAACAGCAUGUGAAAUCUAUUGUCAAUCAGUGUUGCUUCCUAAGUGGACAGUUUGAUUUCACAGAAGUGUGAUUGACUUGGAGUUACAUUGUGUUGUUUAAGUGUUUCCUUUAUUUAUUUGAGCAGUGUAUUAUGAAAAUGUAUGAAAACAAAAACUUAUGAAAACAUAUGUACUUAAUUUAGGUGUUAGGCAUAAGGUUAGCAGUGUGGUUAAGGUAAGGGUUAGGGAUAUGUUUAUAAUCCCAUUUUAAGUAGGGAAAUUGUAGAAAUCAGCAGCCUUUGUGACUUUGUUUCUGUGGUAACUAGUGACGACCUAGAAUUAGCUUGACUCGAGUUACUACCUGAAUGACAAAGACGUCUUCAUCGACAACGGUAAUGUGUGUAAUGUGAAAAGUUGUAUAAAAAAAUACCUGGUUUGAUAAACUAGAAUCAUAAAACACGGGGCGAGAUGUUAAAAACUGUCCAUUGUGCCAAUAGAUGGAAUGCACUCACAUGAGAUUUGCCGUGAUGUUGACAGAGUGGCAUGGGAGGUUUAUUUCUUAGACUGGGUUAAGAUGUCAAUUUUGGGACACAUCCUCAGUAGUGUGCCUUCGAAUCAGUGGGUGUUUCGGCCUUUAAUCACUAAACACCCUCAUCAAAGGUGGCCAGCUAAAGGGUGAUCAAGCCUUAGCUUGUGUCCCAAGCCCAAUUAAGAUAUCCCACAGGACUAUGCAAGGCAGGGGCGUCCUCUUCCCUGAGCCAGCCCUACAGCUGACCGCAUACCUCAUAUGCCCUCCUCAAGUUGGAGGGAUCUGAAUUGGGUUCUCAGGUGGGGGUGGGGGGUUAUAGUCCAGCAAGGGUCCUUCCGUUUGAUCCAGAUCCACUGGCUGCCUCUUUCAGCUGCUUGAGAAACUGCUCUGACGGUCUGCCGCAGAGCCUGUCCAUCGAUUCCAAGUUCUUUCAGCAACCUGAUGGUGGAAGAAGCCACGAAUCCUCUGCAUCCCACUUCAACUGGCCAGACUUUUGCAUUCAAGCCACGCUGAGUUGCGUCUGCUGCCAACUCUGUGUAACGCAGUUUCUUACGCUCGUAGGCCUCUUCAACAGAGUUUUCCCACGGGACUGUGAGCUCUAUGAUGUACACAGCCUUUCGUGAAGGGGACCAGGGUACCAUGUCUGGCCUAAGGUUGGUAGAAGCAAUCUCAGGUGGAAAAAUUAGUUGCUGGCCAAUAUCGACAAGCAUCUUCCAGUCCCGGGCCAUGGCUAGGUGUCCAGUUUCUGGCUUUGUAGGAGGAUACUUGGGCCUUUUCUGUCCCUCCCGGAUGAAUGUUGUUGUUUUGAUGGGAUUGCUGGGAUUUUUGGAGGUAAUGAAUUGGUUGCACUCCUCUUGGUCUCAAGUGCUGCAGCCAGGCUCUUGAGGACCUGAUUGUGCCUCCAGGUGUAGCGGCCUUGUGAGAGGCUGGUCUUGCAACCUGUCAUUAUAUGCCCGAGAGUCGCUGGAGCUGGGCAGAGGGCGCAGGUCGAGUCCUCGCCAUACCAUUGAUGUAGAUUUUUUGGGUGAUGGAAGCACAUCAUAAACAGCUCUUAUGAUGAAGCUGAUGUUGCUUGCCUCCAUUUGCCAAAGCUCACUCCAGUUGAUCUUUAAUUAAGGUUAACUACCCAGACAAGCAGAUACAAGUGGUAGUCAUUUUGGUUGUGAAGUGCAUUAUCAAAAAGCUUUGUCCUUUUUAUAAUAAAAUUGUAUCACCCUGUCACAGCCUCAGCCUACACCACCUGAUGAGGAAGUACAUUGUUUAUGAGGAUUGCCUGCUGCAGUUGUUCGAGAGAUGUCCAGUUUGAAGCUAAACAUGCAACAUAGAGAAGACCAGCAAGGGGACCCUUAGCAUCAAGCAGACAUGCCUCGCUGUGAGAAUUUCUUUAAAUGGAACAGGGAGGACACUUGAAUCAGUAUCUUUGAUGAGGGGCCAGGAGCUGAUCUAUGCUGCCAUGCCCAUCAACGGCGCACAGGCUAAAACCUCACCCCCAGCCUCACCUCUUGCCUGCACACCAACGGUCGUGGAUGGGGAGACCAGAAUAAAAUGCAUCUAUGGAGCCGGUACUUGGAGACUUGCAAGAUGAUGUGAUGGAGUCCUGAACGACAGACAGGCUUUAUACUGAUGUCUCUAAAUGGAGCGAGACCUGUCACUCGGCAUUAACAUUUUACUAGACACAACUUUGACUUGUAAAGUGUUUCUUUAUUAUUGAAUGGUAUCAGUCAAUAUUGGGAGGGAGAAACCCUGUGUAUUAUGCACCAGGAUCCGGGAACUGCUGUUGUAUACAAGACACCACACCGGAAGGUAUGACCACGCUGACAUUUUUGCCAUUACCACCAGAAACCUCUGGCAUCUCACCAUACAGCUACCUCUAGUUAUUGAACUCAACCUGCGGGAGGUUUUUGUUGUAAUUGAGUGGAGGGAAACAGCUGUGAGAGACUUCAAUCAAAGUUGAUUUCUGAGAGGCGUUGUUUACUCAUCAUAGCUCAUGUAAAGAAUAGAUCAUGUAUACACUUGUGGGUGCACAAAUAUCAUGACAUUCACAUAAAGUUAGACCUUCUAACCGAGAGUUCAAAUGAAUGUUUCAAACAAAUUACACUUGAUCAGUUACACUUGAUUUGUAAAAAUGAUGGCCUUUAGAUGAAAUGACAUGGAACUCUUACAGGUUUGUCCACAGUGAAUGAGUUCCACACUGGCAUGAGGGAUCUCUUGCUAUUGCAUUGACAAAGACUGGAUGAUACAGUAGGCAGUAGUCAUUGCUGGGUUACAGCAUUUUUGGUCUCCCCAACAAUGUGUGCUUCUCCUCAACAACGGUCACUGAAAGUGAGUUGACAGACAGAUGACACCAUUUUACUUUUUCAGAUUUUUGUGGUGUUAAAGCAUGAAUUUAAAAUGGAUUGAAUUAAGAUGUUUUGGUCACUGGCCUACACACAGUAUACCAUAAUGUCAAAGUGGAAUUAUGUUUUUAGAAAUGUAAAAAAAAUUAAAGCUGAAAUGUCUUGAGUCAAGUAUUCAAACCCUUUGUUUUGGGAAAGCCUAAAAAAGUUCAGGAGUAAAAAUGUGCUUAACAAGUCACAUAAUAAAUUGCAUGCAAUAAGUGUUUAACAUGAUUUUUGAAUUACAUAAUCGCUGUACCCCACACAUACAAAUAUCUGUAAGGUCCCUCAGUCAAGCAGUGAAUUUCAAACACAGAUUCAAUCACAAAGUCCAGGGAGAUUGUCCAAUGCCUCGCAAAGAAGGGCACCCAUUGGUAUAUGGGUCAAAAUAAAAAAGCAAAUAUUAAAUAUCCCUUUGAGCAUGAUGAGGUUAUUAAUUGCAGUUUGGAUGGUGCAUCAAUACAUCCAGUCACUAUAAAGACACGAGUCCUUCCUAACUCAGUUGCCGUAGAGGAAGGAAACCGCUCAGAGAUUUCAACAUGAGGCCAAUGGUGACUUUACAACAGUUACAGAGUUUAAUGGUUGUGAUAGGAGAAAACUUAGGAAAAGCAAUUUACUUUUUAUCCUCACUACAAAGUGUUAUGUUUGGGGCAAAUUUAAUGCAACACAUUACUGAGUACCACUCUCCAUAUUUUCAAGCAUAGUGGUGGCUGUAUCAUGUUAUGGGUAUGCUCGUUAAGAAAAUGAGUUUUUCAGGAUAAAAAAAGAAACAGAAUGGAGCUAAGCACAGGUUAAAUCAUAGAGAAAAACCUGGUUCAGUCUACUUUCCACCAGACACUGGGAGAUUAAUUCACCUUUCAUCAGGACAACAACCUAAAACUCAAGGCCAAAUCUACACUGGAGUUGCUUACCAAGAAGACCGUGGAUGUUCCCGAGUGUCCAAGUUACAGUUUUAAAUCUACUUAAAAAUCUAUGGCAUGACCUGAAAAUGGUUGUCUAGCAAUGAUCAACAACCAAUUUGACCGAGCUUGAAUCAAAUUUAAAAAAAAAAAAGAAUGAUCCAGGUGGAAAGCUCUUAGAGAUGUACACAGAAAGACACAGCUGUAAUUGCUGCCAAAGG